rnacentral:rRNA from 1 species
CCUACGGAGGGCAGCAGUGGGGAAUAUUGGACAAUGGGCGAAAGCCUGAUCCAGCCAUGCCGCGUGUGUGAAGAAGGCCUUCGGGUUGUAAAGCACUUUCAGUGGGGAAGAAAGCCUUGGGGCUAAUACCCUCGAGGAAGGACAUCACCCACAGAAGAAGCACCGGCUAACUCCGUGCCAGCAGCCGCGGUAAUACGGAGGGUGCGAGCGUUAAUCGGAAUUACUGGGCGUAAAGCGCGCGUAGGCGGUCUGAUAAGCCGGUUGUGAAAGCCCCGGGCUCAACCUGGGAACGGCAUCCGGAACUGUCAGGCUAGAGUGCAGGAGAGGAAGGUAGAAUUCCCGGUGUAGCGGUGAAAUGCGUAGAGAUCGGGAGGAAUACCAGUGGAGAAGGCGGCCUUCUGGACUGACACUGACGCUGAGGUGCGAAAGCGUGGGUAGCAAACAGGAUUAGAUACCCCUGUAGUC